rnacentral:rRNA from 1 species
CUCAGGACGAACGCUGGCGGCGUGCCUAAUACAUGCAAGUCGAGCGGACAGAUGGGAGCUUGCUCCCUGAUGUUAGCGGCGGACGGGUGAGUAACACGUGGGUAACCUGCCUGUAAGACUGGGAUAACUCCGGGAAACCGGGGCUAAUACUGGAUGGUUGUUUGAACCGCAUGGUUCAGACAUAAAAGGUGGCUUCGGCUACCACUUACAGAUGGACCCGCGGCGCAUUAGCUAGUUGGUGAGGUAACGGCUCACCAAGGCGACGAUGCGUAGCCGACCUGAGAGGGUGAUCGGCCACACUGGGACUGAGACACGGCCCAGACUCCUACGGGAGGCAGCAGUAGGGAAUCUUCCGCAAUGGACGAAAGUCUGACGGAGCAACGCCGCGUGAGUGAUGAAGGUUUUCGGAUCGUAAAGCUCUGUUGUUAGGGAAGAACAAGUGCCGUUCAAAUAGGGCGGCACCUUGACGGUACCUAACCAGAAAGCCACGGCUAACUACGUGCCAGCAGCCGCGGUAAUACGUAGGUGGCAAGCGUUGUCCGGAAUUAUUGGGCGUAAAGGGCUCGCAGGCGGUUUCUUAAGUCUGAUGUGAAAGCCCCCGGCUCAACCGGGGAGGGUCAUUGGAAACUGGGGAACUUGAGUGCAGAAGAGGAGAGUGGAAUUCCACGUGUAGC